CCCUGGCGGCGGGCGCACUGCUCGCACGCUCGCCCUGGGGCUGCAGAUCGGCUUGCGGGACGGGGUCCCAGAGAGGCCGGUCCACGCGGCCCGCACGCGCGAGUGUUAGCUCUGCACACGACGGAAGGCGGAGGCGCGGGUGGCUGCCGUUUCACCUUAGAGGGAGGGAGGGAAACGUGUCCUGAUUUCUGCACCUAAGGCAGUAUUUCAGCCCCUUUGAUUCACACACCACCUUUGCAUCGUUGGAAACACCUUUGACCAGCAAUGGAAAAUAAAGGGAACAUACUGCAGUUUCAAUUGUUGUGGGACUCAGGUUUUCUCUCAACACCGCAUACACACUUGGAGACAUGGGAAGAAGGUCUGAUGGAGAAUGUGGCUCUGUUGAAUCACUUCGGCUUAAAGAGAUAACAAGAGGGCAUGAAGUCAGGUGGCUGCAAGUCUGUGAGUGACAACUGUAGGAUAUUCUACAUGAUGGUGCCCAAAGAUUUAGUGCUAUAGAUGAAGAUUUUUAUGGAUUGUAUACACUUUCAUUAAAGAAACAGAAUGGUGAACGUACCUUAAAAUUGCAUAGUAAUUUAACAAAUUUUCUUUUAUGUAUUCAACAAAUAUUUACUGAAUCCCUCUUUUAGCCAGACAUUGCUCUAGGUCCUAGGAUACAACCAGGAAAGGUAGGCUGGGAGUGUGGGGGAGGGAGAGGAUGAAGCAGAGAUCCACAGGUCCCCUCCCUAGCAAAUGAACAAAUACCCUGAGUUGUAAGACUACAGUAAGGUUAAAAAUAUAAAACUUAUAAACCCUGGGGUUCCUUUGCAAUAUACAGACUUGUUUUACUAUUAAAAGCUUCUCAUCAUUACCCCCUCUUUCUUUUCCUUUCCCUCAGUCAUAGACAUGAAGCCUGCACCACUUCUGUCUUACAAAGGAGAAAACUGAAGCUCUCCAAGUGGCUAUGAGAGGCCCCCAUGGCCAUGGUGAAGUUUAGUUACAGCUGCUUAUUACUCGCUAGUGUUAGAAAGCCCAGCGGUCCCUUUUCAGGAACUGCUGACAUACCACUUCAUUUCUAAGGCUUUGACCUCCACAUGCCCUUAGAUCUUACAGAAAUCAGAGUAAACAAGAAGGGGAACUUCAUUUACUUUGCUCCAAUAUGAGGUUAUUUUCCA
rnacentral:lncRNA from 1 species